AAAGAAUGAAAAUAUGUCAGCAUCCAAGGAAGAGGCAGUGAGGAGUGCAGCAGCUUACUCAGGAGCCUGGAAGCAAAAUGGUGAGCAAGAGAGGGCAGGAGGAGGAGGAUGAAGUAUGUGGAGACAGGAUAUAAGCUCUGUAAGAGAAGCAGCUUUCACGGUUUUGUUCACUGUGGUAUCCCCAGGACCCAGAACUUAGUGGUAAGUACUCAAUGAAGAAUUGUUAUAUGAAUAAAUCAAUUUCUUUAGCACUAUCUUUGUAUGCUUUAGCUGUGACUUCAUAUUCCUUUAGAGAUAUAUUUCUAUUAUAACUUAUUUUUUUCUGAAUAAAUUUUGCAAUUUAUCGCUUCCAAUGACAUUUUUAUUCCCCUAUUAUGCUUUCAAGAUCUAAAUAGUCUUUGAGCAUCAUAGUAGAUACCUUUCUCACAUAACUACUUCAUAAUUUUUUUAUUUUAAAGUUAGUACUACUGUUGUUGAAAUUUUCAGAUGGUUGUGGACUUUCUGAAGUUAUAGGUAUAUUGUCAAUCUUGCUGCCAGUUAUUUGUUCCCCUCUGAUGUUUUAAUACACAUGGUUUGGAUUUGUCUUUUUAAGAUUCUCCCACUGUUUUUGCAACUUACUUGGCAAGGCGGGGUGGGGGAGGAUGUGAGAAGAGGGUACUGGUAGCAGAACAGAAAAACAAAGUUCUAUUUUAAAAAAACAGACUUGCAAUAUAGCAUAAAUAUUAAGGCUCUGGAUUUUAAAAUACAUGGGCUUUAUUCUUUCUUCCACCGUUUUCCAAUUAUGAUCUUUUAUCUUGCUUAAACAAGAUAUAUCUCUAAAUCUGUUUCCUUAUUUUUAAAAUGAAGUAAAUAGCACUGUAAUUAGAAUGAAAAAGGAUGAAAAAGGAUAAUAAAGCAUUUAAUACAAUGAUGAGUAUAAAUGUAUUCAACAUAAACUUAGAAAAACAAAAAGUUAUUGAUAAUCAGAACACAUUCAACACAUAACCUUAUUUGAAGCAUAUCAUUAGGCCAAAGGAGUAAUUAGAACCUACACACAGAAUAUCAUUUCAGGUCCUUGAGGAUGCCUUCCACCCACAGGGAAUGAGUUGAGACCAGAGAUAUAACCCACAAUAGUAUUUGAGUAAGAGGAGAAACAGGGCAGGUAAUAAAUAAAUUUAGUUGUUAUUGUUUCUAUUGAGAUAAGGAUUUGGGGGCAGGGGGAUUAUGUGCUGAAGAUUUCAUUUUCUUUUAAGGGAAUGUGUGACAACAUAAAUUCUUUAACAUUUAACAACUGUUAGAUCUGUAACUUUGAAACCUGAAAUUAUUUGUGUGAAAAAAAAGGCAGACCAGGUACAGAUAACAAAAUCUGAUGGAGAAAAUGCAAAUGCAGAAAAGGUCAGACUUAAUUGGCUAAUUACAUUGUCCUACUUAAUUUUGUACAAUUUUGCUCAUAAUAUGAAAAGAUAAGUUUUCUGAGCAAUUGAAAUUGGAUUUGUUUUUCUGGGCAAGUACCAUUCCAAAAGCAAAGCAGCAGGAGGGAAAAAAAAAAAAUGUUGUUUUUCCAAGCAAUCAGCUUCCAGUAGAAGUUAAAAAGUAAUAAAUGGAACCAAGUCAUAAAAUAGAUCUUCUUAUGAUCAACUUCAUAACGUCCAAAAUAUUUUAUUAAUCAUAUAUUAAACAUCACCACAAGAAUUGCUCCACAUUUAAGAGUAAACCAGAUUUGAAAACAAUAAUUAAAUUAAAGGAGUGUUUAAAACCCAAAUAUAUUAAGCAUCCAGAGCCUUGUAAACACCAGAGGUCAACAGAGGAAUGAGAGGAAAGCAGAGACAUAAGUGGAGUAAAGCUUGUUUUGCCAGAGGAUGGAGAGAGGCAUGCGAUAACCUCCCACAUUCCAGUACAUGACUGGCUCGAUCAGCUGCAGUGAGUAUGACAAAGUGGUUUCACAGGUUCCAUUCCUUGUCCUGUAACCCUACGGUAGGAGGUUAACUGGAGUAGAAGAUUCAGGUUAGUUCCCACAUGAAACUGAGGAUGUCUUUAUACUACUGCCAGUUGACUGAGCCUGGGACUACCUCUAGUCAGAACUCAAGCAACAUAUUUAACCGUCAGGUUGUAGACUUUUGAGGAAUUUAACC
ensembl:lncRNA